AUUGAACGCUGGCGGCAUGCCUUACACAUGCAAGUCGAACGGUAACGGGCCUUCGGGUGCCGACGAGUGGCGAACGGGUGAGUAAUGCAUCGGAACGUACCUUUCAGUGGGGGAUAACGUAGCGAAAGUUACGCUAAUACCGCAUAUUCUGUGAGCAGGAAAGCAGGGGAUCGCAAGACCUUGCGCUGAUUGAGCGGCCGAUGUCAGAUUAGCUAGUUGGUGAGGUAAAGGCUCACCAAGGCGACGAUCUGUAGCGGGUCUGAGAGGAUGAUCCGCCACACUGGGACUGAGACACGGCCCAGACUCCUACGGGAGGCAGCAGUGGGGAAUUUUGGACAAUGGGGGCAACCCUGAUCCAGCCAUGCCGCGUGAGUGAAGAAGGCCUUCGGGUUGUAAGCUCUUUCGGCUGGGAAGAAAUCGCAUCUCCUAAUACGGGGUGUGGAUGACGGUACCAGCAUAAGAAGCACCGGCUAACUACGUGCC
rnacentral:rRNA from 1 species